CUAAGNAGAAAGAGUAGACAAUGAAGGCAACGUAAAUUCCUAUUUAGUUUUGAGAGCUCCGCUCUCAGGAUGGUUCUUUGAGAACCGAAUAACAGAAAAGACAUAGUCUUUCUGGAUANUGAAAGAAGNAAACAANAGAUUUUCACNAAUCGAGAAAAAAACAGUGUUAAACAGUAAUCAAUCGCAAAUUGAAANAACAAGCAGU
rnacentral:misc_RNA from 1 species